AGCGGUAUGGUGUAUGGUUGCGCACCGGGUCUAGUUAAAUAUCUCACAAACCAUUGAGCCCGGAGGACCUUGUUCGAAUCAAGGUAUUGCUU